CUCUUGGUCGCCUCCGCUCGGCCUCUUCCUCUUUACUCCUUCCUUCCUACUCCUCGCUCGCUCGCGCCCUCGCCUGCGCCGCGCCAAAACGCAUAAAAUUCCAUCACAACCAUUCGCCUUGUUCCCUCCCUCCCUCCCUCACCUCUCCCGCGCCCUCGCCAUGCCCGCGGCCGCUUCCUCUUGGCGUUUCUAGAUGGGCUCCUCCUCCCUCCUCCUCUUCCCCUCCUCCUCCUCCGCCUCUUAUUCCUCCUCCUCCUCACAUGCCAUCACCUCCUCUUCCUUACUGCCUCCUCUCCCCUCAUCCGACCACCACCACCACCUCCGCUACCUCCACCACCUAGAGGACCAACACCACG
rnacentral:lncRNA from 1 species